rnacentral:rRNA from 1 species
GUGGUUUAAUUCGAAGCAACGCGAAGAACUUACCAGGCCUUGACAUGCAGAGAACUUUCCAGAGAUGGAUUGGUGCCUUCGGGAACUCUGACACAGGUGCUGCAUUGGCUGUCGUCAGCUCGUGUCGUGAGAUGUUCGGGUUAAGUCCCGUAACGAGCGCAACCCUUGUCCUUAGUUACCAGCACGUUAAGGUGGGGCACUCUAAGGAGACUGCCGGUGACAAACCGGAGGAAGGUGGGGAUGACGUCAAGUCAUCAUGGCCCUUACGGCCUGGGCUACACACGUGCUACAAUGGUCGGUACAAAGGGUUGCCAAGCCGCGAGGUGGAGCUAAUCCCAUAAAACCGAUCGUAGUCCGGAUCGCAGUCUGCAACUCGACUGCGUGAAGUCGGAAUCGCUAGUAAUCGUGAAUCAGAAUGUCACGGUGAAUACGUUCCCGGGCCUU